GACUGAUGACUUAUUAUUUGCUACUUCUGAGUUGUUACUGACGACUCAUUUUUACCACCAAGAUCUCUGAUGUU